rnacentral:lncRNA from 1 species
CAACUGUUUUUCAGAAGGUAGCUAACCAGAUGCAUCUGAGCUCCAGUCUUUCCCAGGAUGUCCAUGCUCGCUAUGGGGGCAUUCAAAGGCCUGCUCUCUAUCAGAGGCGUUUUGCAUAUGGCAAUUACUCUAAUGCAGGACUGCAAACCUGCCAAGCCACACAGGAUCUCUCGUUGAUUGCUGCAAACGCUUCACCAGUGUUUGUGCAAGCUCCCCAAGAAAAAGGACUUGCAGCUUUUGCCACUGACUUCCUUAUGGGUGGUGUUUCUGCUGCUGUGUCAAAGACUGCUGCUGCCCCUAUUGAGCGUGUGAAACUUUUGAUCCAAAACCAAGAUGAGAUGAUUAAGGCUGGUAGACUGUCAGAACCAUACAAGGGAAUUGGAGAAUGUUUCGGGAGGACAAUUAAAGAGGAAGGAUUUGGUUCUUUGUGGAGAGGAAACACUGCCAAUGUCAUCCGUUACUUUCCUACUCAGGUAUGCCAUUUACUUGCAUUGGAUGCUGCAAUUUAUGACACAGGCACUGAAUCUGUUGAUUUUUGGUAAUACGGAAUACUGACUGAUAUUGUGUUUCACAGGCCUUGAACUUUGCAUUCAAGGACUACUUCAAGAGGCUCUUCAACUUCAAGAAGGACCGUGAUGGCUACUGGAAGUGGUUUGCAGGCAACCUUGCAUCUGGUGGUGCUGCUGGUGCUUCUUCUUUGCUCUUUGUUUACUCCCUUGACUAUGCUCGUACUCGUCU